rnacentral:snRNA from 1 species
GGAUGUGAGGGUGAUCUGGCUGCACAUCUGUCACCAUUGCUCAGGGUAGAUUUGGCUGAUCUUGCUGGCUAGGCACUGUUCCCUUCCCCCCUUACCACUCCAGAGGACAGCAUUCCCUGAAUAUAGGAGAACCAGUCUCCAGUCAAGGGUAUAUAACUGUGCUCCCCUGCUAGAACCUCCAAACAAGUCCACAUGUGCACAGGUGUGCCCACACACAUACUACACAGGUGAACAAAUACAUGCUUGUGAGAGUAUCAAAAAUAUAGGCGAAAUUGAAAUAGUGUGGUGAACUUUCUUCCUAUACUGGACAUUC